rnacentral:rRNA from 1 species
AUACGUAGGGGGCGAGCGUUGUCCGGAAUGAUUGGGCGUAAAGGGCGCGUAGGCGGCCCGGUAAGUCUGGAGUGAAAGUCCUGUUUUCAAGAUGGGAAUUGCUUUGGAUACUGUCGGGCUUGAGUGCAGGAGAGGUAAGUGGAAUUCCCAGUGUCGCGGUGAAAUGCGUAGAGAUUGGGAGGAACACCAGUGGCGAAGGCGACUUACUGGACUGUAACUGACGCUGAGGCGCGAAAGUGUGGGGAGCAAACAGGAUUAGAUACCCUGGUAGUCCACACUGUAAACGAUGAAUGCUAGGUGUAGGGGGUAUCGACCCCUUCUAUGCCGCAGUCAACACAAUAAGCAUUCCGCCUGGGGAGUACGGCCGCAAGGUUGAAACUCAAAUGAAUUGACGGGG